rnacentral:lncRNA from 1 species
CAACCCUAAAAUCAUUUUCUCUCAAUCAGCCGUCUUUGAACCCCUUUCAUCUCUCAAACUUUCUCGAACCUUCCUGGAACUCUAGUCGUAUCCUAUCGUCUUCAAUUGUGAAACCUAUCGGAAACCAUGGCUUCUCAAGCCAUGGGGUCCUAUACUCACCUCUUACUACUCCUAUGUGCUCAAUGCUUGAAGAUUCGAGGCUAGGCCUCGAAGGUCUUCAUCCAGGCCUUUGCCGGCUCAAAGUUUUCAGGCCAUCGCCCGCCUUGCUCCAGCGUAUUCUCUCUUCUGAGCCUGAUUCCUGCUUCUCCGACUCCGAUUGGUUACCUUUUUAAAG